rnacentral:rRNA from 1 species
GCGAAGAAAGAAAAAAAUGACUCAUAACUUUGUGGGAGGUGCCUUCCUGUCUAAGGCCGUCCAAGGCCAAGAUGAACAUUUUCCAUCGGCAAUGAGGGAUGUACACAUUCGGUGAGCGGCCGGGCGGCUGCCGGGAAACCAAGGCAGUUGGGUACCGGGGGGAGAAUGGCAGCCAAGCUGAAAAUUAACGGACUUGACGGAAAGGCCCCUUGUAGAGUGGAGCCUGCGGCUUAAUUUGACUCAACAAGGGAAACCUCACCCGGCCCGGACACGGACAGGAUUGACAGAUUGAUAGCUCUUUCUCGAUUCCGUGGGUGGUGGUGCAUGGCCGUUCUUAGUUGGUGGAGCGAUUUGUCUGGUUAAUUCCGAUAACGAACGAGACUCUGGCAUGCUAACUAGUUACGCGACCCCCGAGCGGUCGGCGUCCCCCAACUUCUUAGAGGGACAAGUGGCGUUCAGCCACCCGAGAUUGAGCAAUAACAGGUCUGUGAUGCCCUUAGAUGUCCGGGGCUGCACGCGCGCUACACUGACUGGCUCAGCGUGUGCCUACCCUACGCCGGCAGGCGCGGGUAACCCGUUGAACCCCAUUCGUGAUGGGGAUCGGGGAUUGCAAUUAUUCCCCAUGAACGAGGAAUUCCCAGUAAGUGCGGGUCAUAAGCUUGCGUUGAUUACGUCCCUGCCCCUUUGUACAAGGAUUACGGGUGUUCAGGGGGAUUGUUGGUGUGCGUACGGGGUAUAAAAGUGGGUUGGGGUGGAGGAAAAAAUUUGAUAUGAGGGACCAGGGCGGGGGUGGGGCCAGCAAAGUUGUUAUAAUGGCAGUAAUGGGGAGGGAGAAAGGAGGUAGUUGGGGUUUGUCCAGAAGUGGCGGUUCGGUAGAGGGGAGGACAGGGGAGCGAAAAUAGAGAUUGAUGGGAGAGGGGAGCCGUGAGGGGGAUUGAGGGGCGGAUUUGAGAGGGGAAGGGAGGAAGGGUAAGGGGAGGUGUGGGUAUGGGGGGGACGGCACGGGGAAGGGGUGAAGGAUGCCGGCGGGAAUAGGUGAUGUGCAGAGGGGGAGGGAGGGGGAGGGGUAGGAUAGAAGUAUAGGCGGGGGUGAUUGAAGCGGAUUAAUGAAGGUGGUAGGCGCGGGCGGGGGCGGGGCGGAACGUGAGCGGGCGUAUGCGAUGGUGAUAGUGGAAGUGGGAGUGUGAUAGAGUGAAUAGGGAGGGGAUAGGGGGGGGGAGGAGAGAAAAUAAAGGCCGAAGACCGGUAUGACGACGAGACUGGAGCGUUGGGAGCGGGAGGCAGGCGGGUUAUGAGUAGACGUGAUGGGCAGACGAGGUUGAAGGGGCGGAUGGCCGGAGGGGAUUGGGACGGUAACUGGGAGAAGUGAGGGAUGAAAGAGCGCGGGAUCUAUGGGGGUGCGUGGGUGCGAAAUGAGAUAAGAGGCUAUUAGGACGCGCGUAGAGGAGCGAG